UCGCCUGUUUAUCAAAAACAUAGCCUUAGGAGCCUAUCUAAGGUAAGCCCUGCCCGGUGAUAUAAUUCAACGGCCGCAGUACCCUGACUGUGCUAAGGUAGCGUAAUCAGUUGGCUUUUAAAUGGAGUCGAGAAUGAAUGGGUACAUGGGGGAGUGCUGUCUCCCUUCUGCUAAAUAGAACUUAUUUAAUGGGUGAAAAGCCCCAUAAGAAGAAAAAAGACGAGAAGACCCUUAGAAUCUGGACAAAUGUGCUCUAUGAACACACAGUUCUUGUUGGGGCGACAUUGGGGCACAUGUUUACGGAGUAUAAACCCCCAAUAAAGGAGCAUUAGACAAGACGACUAUAGUAAGUAAGAUUAGAUUACCUGAGGGAUAACAGCAUAAUUUUUAAAAGCUUGUGACCUCGAUGUUGGACUAGGGACCUAACGACUAGCCGUCGAGUUGGCAAGAUCUGUUCGACCUAACAC
rnacentral:rRNA from 1 species